GUAAAUUCUGUCCAAGGCUAAAUACGGGCGAGAGACCGAUAGCAAACAAGUACCGCGAGGGAAAUACAAAAAGGACUUUGAAAAAAGAGUCAAAGAGUGCUUGAAAUUGUUGGGAGGGAAGCGGAUAGGGGCUGAUGAUACACCCCAGCCAGAUGUGGAACGGCGACAGUCGGUCCGUCAAUUGACUGGAGGCGUGGAUCUUUGCGGAUUGCAGAGGUGGCCCAAGCCUAGGCUGUAGUUAUGCUCACGGAGAUGUCGUUGCUAUGAUCAUGGCAGCACAUGCCUCACGGCGUGCCUCGGCAUCUACACGCUCUUAGUAUCAGCCUGCGGGCUCCCCAUUUGGCCCGUCUUAAAACACAAACCAAGGAGUUUGACAUGUGUGCCAGUCAACGGGCUAGUAAACCUGUAAGGCACAAGGAAGCUGAUUGGCGAGAUCCCUUUGAAGGUCGCACCGCCGACUGACCUUGAUCUUUUAAAAAAGGUUCGAGUGAGAGCAUACCUGUCGAGACUCGAAAGAUGGUGAACUAUGCCUGACUGGGGCGAAGCCAGCUAAAACUCUAGUGGAGGCCUACAAUGAUACUAACGUGCAAAUCGUUCGCCUGACUUGGGUAUAGGAGCGAAAGACUAAUCGAAUCUUCUAGUAACUAGUUCCACGUGCGAGUUCUAUCGAGUAAAGCCAAUGAUUAGAGGCAUCAACAGUGCAACGCCCUCGACCUAUUCUCAAACUUUAAAUAAGUAGGACGAUGCGACUACUUCGUUGAGCCAUGCCAAGGAAUUAAGAGCUCUAAAUGGGCCAUUUUUGGUAAGCAGAACUGGCGAUGCGGGAUAAACCGGAAGCCAGGUUACGGUGCCCAACUGCGCACUAACGUCGAGCCCACAAAGGGGGUUGGUCAAUUAAGACAGCAGGGCGGUGGUCAUGGAAGUCGAAAUCCACUAAAAAGUGUGUAACAACUCACCUGCCAAAUAAACUAGCCCCGAAAAUGGAUGGAGCUGAAGCGCGCAACCUAUACCCGGCCAUUGGGGCAAGUUCCAAGCCCCAAUGAGUAAGAGGGCACGGCGGUCAUCGCAAAACCUGGGGCACGAGCCUGGGUGAAGCAACUGUCGGUGCAGAUUUUGGUGGUAGUAGCAAAUAUUCAAAUGAGAACUUUAAAGGCCAAAAAGGGGAAAGGUUCCAUGUGAACGGCACUUGCACAUAGGUUAGUCGAUCCUAAGAGACGAGGGAAGCCUAUCUGAUAGCGUGCUAAGUGCGAGCUUCGAAAGGAAAUCGAGUUAAAAUUCUUGAACUGGGACAUGGUGGCUGACGGCAACGUUAGGGAGUCUGAAGACGUUAGCGGGGGCCUCAUAAAAAGUUAUCUUUUCUGUUUAACAGCCUGCCCACCUUGGAAACGGCUCAGCCGGAGGUAGGGUCUAGUGGUUGGAAAAGCACCAUACGUCGUGUGGUUUUUGGUGCGCCCCCAACGACCCUUGAAAAUCUGGAGGACCGAGUGCCACCCAUGCCCAGUCGUACUCAUAACCGCAUUAGGUCUCCAAGGUGAACAGCCUCUAGUCGAUGGAACAAUGUAGGCAAGGGAAGUCAGCAAAAUGGAUUCGUAAUCUCGGGAAAAGGAUUGGCUCUAAGGGUUUGACAUGGGGUCCCAGUCUCGAACAUGUCGGCUGUCGGCGAAUUGCUCGAGUUGCUCUCAAGGCAAAAGCGGGUUGCCGAGUGCCAACCAAGGGAUGAACUGGGAACGACCACCUCGGUGGUCUUCCCUGGGCAUCUAACAGUUGACUCAGAACUGGUAUGGACAAGGGGAAUCUGACUAUUUAAUUAAAACAAAGCAUUGUGAUGGUCCUUAUAGAUGCUCACGCAAUGUGAUUUUUGCCCAGUGCUCUGAAUGUCAAAGUGAAGAAAUUCAACUAAGUGCGAGUAAAAUGCGGGAGUAACUAUGACUCUCUUAAGGUAGCCAAAUGCCUCGUCAUCUAAUUAGUGACAUGCAUGAAUGGAUUAACGAGAUUCCCACUGUCCCUGUCUACUAUCCAGCGAAACCACAGACAAGGGAACGGGCUUAGCAGAAUCAACAGGGAAAGAAGACCCUGUUGAGCUUGACUCUAGUUUGACUUUGUGAAAUGACUUGAAAGGUGUAAUAUAAGUGGGAGCCGAAAGACGAAAGUGAAAUACCACUACUUUUAACGUUAUUUUACUUAUUACAUGAAUCGAAAGUGAGGCUUUGCCCCUCUUUUUAGACCCAAGGCCUGCCUCGGCAGGCCGAUCCCAGUGAAAGACAUUGUCAGGUGGGGAGUUUGGCUGGGGCGGCACAUUUGUUAUAAGAUAACGUAGGUGUCCUAAGAUGAGCUUAACGAGAACAGAAAUCUCACGUGGAACAAAAUGGUAAAAGCUCAUUUGAUUUUGAUUUCCAAUACGAAUACAAACCGUGAAAGCGUGGCCUAUCAAUCCUUUAGACCUUUAAAAUUUAAAGCUAGAGGUGUCAAAAAAGUUACCAUAGGGAUAACUAGCUUGUGGCAGACAAGUGUUCAUAGCGACGUUGCUUUUUUAUCCUUCGAUGUCGGCUCUUCCUAUCAUUGUGAAGCAGAAUUCACCAAGUGUUGGAUUGUUAACCCACCAAUAGGGAACGUGACCUGGGUUUAAACCGUCGUGAGAUAGGUUAGUUUUACCCUACUGAUGACAGCGUCACAAUAGUAAUUCAACCUAGUACGAGAGGAACCGUUGAUUCACACAAUUGUUCAUUGCAAUUGGUUGAAAAGCCAGUGGCGCGAAGCUACCAUGUGCUGGAUUAUAAUUGAACACCUCUAAGACAGAAUUCAGGCUAGAUGACGCGUGCACCCACCACCCGAUUGCUGACCUGCAGUAGGGGCCCUCGGGCCCCCAAAGGCACGUAUCUUUGGCUAAGCCCCCACAGCGGACGAGUUGCGUGGGCUGCCUUAAAGUAUAAUUCCCAUCGAGCGGCGGGUAGAAUCCUUUGCAAAUGACUUAAAUACAUGACGAGAUAUUGUAAGUGGCAGAGUGGCCUUGCUACCACGAUCCACUAAGAUUCAGCCCUGUGUCACUUUGAUUCAU
rnacentral:rRNA from 1 species